UACGUAGGUGGCAAGCGUUGUCCGGAAUUACUGGGUGUAAAGCGCGCGUAGGCGGUAGGCCAAGUCUGCUGUGAAAUCGCCCGGCUCAACUGGGCGCGGUCGGUGGAAACUGGUCAACUGGAGGACGGUAGAGGCGAGUGGAAUUCCCGGUGUAGUGGUGAAAUGCGUAGAGAUCGGGAGGAACACCAGUGGCGAAGGCGGCUCGCUGGGCCGGACCUGACGCUGAGGCGCGAAGGCGUGGGAGCGAACGGG
rnacentral:rRNA from 1 species